rnacentral:rRNA from 1 species
AUUGAACGCUGGCGGCAUGCUUUACACAUGCAAGUCGGACGGCAGCACAGAGAAGCUUGCUUCUUGGGUGGCGAGUGGCGAACGGGUGAGUAACGCAUCGGAACGUACCGAGUAAUGGGGGAUAACUGUCCGAAAGGACAGCUAAUACCGCAUACGCCCUGAGGGGGAAAGCGGGGGAUCUUAGGACCUCGCGUUAUUCGAGCGGCCGAUGUCUGAUUAGCUGGUUGGCGGGGUAAAGGCCCACCAAGGCGACGAUCAAUAGCGGGUCUGAGAGGAUGAUCCGCCACACUGGGACUGAGACACGGCCCAGACUCCUACGGGAGGCAGCAGUGGGGAAUUUUGGACAAUGGGCGCAAGCCUGAUCCAGCCAUGCCGCGUGUCUGAAGAAGGCCUUCGGGUUGUAAAGGACUUUUGUCAGGGAAGAAAAGGGGCAUGUUAAUACCGUGCU